UCGAUGCCAGAGCUAACUGAUGGGUGCACAUGGUUCCUUCGUAUGUUCUUUCUUUGAAAAAAUAAACGUGUUUCGAUGCCAGAGCUAACUGAUGGGUGCACAUGGUUCCUUCGUAUGUUCUUUCUUUGAAAAAAUAAACGUGUUUCGAUGCCAGAGCUAAGUGAUGGGUGCACAUGGUUCCUUCGUGUGUUCUUCCUUUGAAAAAAUAAACGUGUUUCGAUGCCAGAGCUAACUGAUUGGUGCACAUGGUUCCUUCGUAUGUUCUUCCUUUGAAGAAA